UGGAUUAGUGGCGAACGGGUGAGUAACACGUGAGUAACCUGCCCCUGACUCUGGGAUAAGCGUUGGAAACGACGUCUAAUACUGGAUAUGACUACUGGUCGCAUGGCCUGGUGGUGGAAAGAUUUUUUGGUUGGGGAUGGACUCGCGGCCUAUCAGCUUGUUGGUGAGGUAAUGGCUCACCAAGGCGACGACGGGUAGCCGGCCUGAGAGGGUGACCGGCCACACUGGGACUGAGACACGGCCCAGACUCCUACGGGAGGCAGCAGUGGGGAAUAUUGCACAAUGGGCGAAAGCCUGAUGCAGCAACGCCGCGUGAGGGAUGACGGCCUUCGGGUUGUAAACCUCUUUUAGUAGGGAAGAAGCGAAAGUGACGGUACCUGCAGAAAAAGCACCGGCUAACUACGUGCCAGCAGCCGCGGUAAUACGUAGGGUGCAAGCGUUGUCCGGAAUUAUUGGGCGUAAAGAGCUCGUAGGCGGUUUGUCGCGUCUGCUGUGAAAUCCCGAGGCUCAACCUCGGGCUUGCAGUGGGUACGGGCAGACUAGAGUGCGGUAGGGGAGAUUGGAAUUCCUGGUGUAGCGGUGGAAUGCGCAGAUAUCAGGAGGAACACCGAUGGCGAAGGCAGAUCUCUGGGCCGUAACUGACGCUGAGGAGCGAAAGCGUGGGGAGCGAACAGGAUUAGAUACCCUGGUAGUCCACGCCGU
rnacentral:rRNA from 1 species